CCCACGCUUUCUGGCGGCUUCCCGGUGCCCUGCUCACGCCCCGGCUGCCAGCUCCGAGCGUGAGCCCCAGGAGCGUCCGGCAGAAGGGCGUCCCCGCCAGCCCCACGCACAAUGCCCCCUCGACUGUUCCACCACUGCUCCUAAGCUUGGAGAGUGCUGGUCGCAGGCCAAGGGGAGGCAGCUGCCCUCCUCGGCCUCUGGCUGCCUUUUCACAGCCCUCAAGGGCGGAGGAAGAGAAGGAAAGUGCCUGACCACCUGGCGCUGGGCCCACCAUCCCUUGGGGCCCACCAUCCCUUGCCUCCCACAUCGCACACACAGGGUCCCGCGGGACGGGGAGCGGGGACCACCUGGACAUUGAACACCUCGCCGGGGACGCUCAGAGCCGGCUCCACCACGCCAGCGGAUCCAGGCUCGGCCGGGCCGGGAAGGGCGCGCCACUCGGUGGCCGACCGGAGCGUCGGGAGCACCGCAGGAGGAGUGCCGAGCCCCGGAGAGGCACACCCCGAGAGCCCAGCCGGCCCCGCCCGGGAACCGGGAUGGGCUAAAAAGGAAAACGGCCUGGUGGGAUGGCUCGCGCCUGUAAUCCCUGCACUUUGGGAGGCCCAGCAUGACAACUGGCAAGAUUCCAAGAGGUGGAAUGGGGGCUCCUUCAGCUUGUGUCCCUGAGAGUGGUGAAGCAAUGGAACCUCCAAUGGACAUAUGAGAAGGUGCUCCUGUUAAUGGCUUAAACAAAUUAUGGAUUUAUUCUCCCUCAUAAAAGAAGUCUGGAAGUUGUCAAUCAAGGGUUGAUAACAGUGUUGAUGACUCACUCAGCUAUCAGCCAAGGAGCUUCCUGCCUCUACUGUAAAUGAAGCCUGAAAUAUCCAAGCUACAUUAUCGCUAACAUGCCUAUGGUGGGACAUCUGUGGUUUUCUCCAUCUGGUUUCUAACGCCUACUGAUACAGAAAGGCUAAAUUCCACCCUCAAGCCUGGACCCUCAGCCUUAAGUGAAAACAGCUGACCCUGAUACAGAACGGCUGGGCUCCUGUCUAAAUCCACCUUCAAGUCUGGACCCUCAGCCCUAAGCGAAAACAGCUGACCCUGUUGCCUUUGUGGCCCACCCCACCUCCUAUCUUGUGCUUGCCUUUUUGCCCCACCCAAUCCCCUAUCCUUUGCCCAUAAAAAGACUUCAGCUGGUGGAGCAAAAAGAGGUAGCUGAUGCAAGUGUUUGGGGAUGCAGGCUGCUGAACAUCAGGGUUGCAUGCAGCUGAGCAUCCGAGACUAAGGAUAGACUCGGCCAACUUCACAUGGUGCAGCUUCAGGAAAAGAUCACUUUCUUCCCAUACCACCCCUUUACCAAUUCCCCAUCCCACUGAUAGCCACUUUUAUUGCCCAAUAAACUCCUCCGCAUACA